AUUGAACGCUGGCGGCAGGCCUAACACAUGCAAGUCGAGCGGAUGAAGGGAGCUUGCUCCUGGAUUCAGCGUCGGACGGGUGAGUAAUGCCUAGGAAUCUGCCUGGUAGUGGGGGAUAACGUCCGGAAACGGGCGCUAAUACCGCAUACGUCCUGAUGGAGAAAGUGGGGGAUCUUCGGACCUCACGCUAUCAUAUGAGCCUAGGUCGGAUUAGCUAGUUGGUGGGGUAAAGGCCUACCAAGGCGACGAUCCGUAACUGGUCUGAGAGGAUGAUCAGUCACACUGGAACUGAGACACGGUCCAGACUCCUACGGGGGGCAGCAGUGGGGAAUAUUGGACCAUGGGCGAAAGCCUGAUCCAGCCAUGCCGAGUGUGUGAAGAAGGUCUUCGGAUUGUAAAGCACUUUAAGUUGGGAGGAAGGGCAGUAAGUUAAUACCUUGCUGUUUUGACGUUAACAACAGAAUAAGCACCGGCUAACUUCGUG
rnacentral:rRNA from 1 species